AGGAUGAACGCUGGCGGCGUGCCUAAUACAUGCAAGUCGAGCGAACGGACGAGAAGCUUGCUUCUCUGAUGUUAGCGGCGGACGGGUGAGUAACACGUGGAUAACCUACCUAUAAGACUGGGAUAACUUCGGGAAACCGGAGCUAAUACCGGAUAAUAUUUUGAACCGCAUGGUUCAAAAGUGAAAGACGGUCUUGCUGUCACUUAUAGAUGGAUCCGCGCUGCAUUAGCUAGUUGGUAAGGUAACGGCUUACCAAGGCAACGAUGCAUAGCCGACCUGAGAGGGUGAUCGGCCACACUGGAACUGAGACACGGUCCAGACUCCUACGGGAGGCAGCAGUAGGGAAUCUUCCGCAAUGGGCGAAAGCCUGACGGAGCAACGCCGCGUGAGUGAUGAAGGUCUUCGGAUCGUAAAACUCUGUUAUUAGGGAAGAACAUAUGUGUAAGUAACUGUGCACAUCUUGACGGUACCUAAUCAGAAAGCCACGGCUAACUACGUGCCAGCAGCCGCGGUAAUACGUAGGUGGCAAGCGUUAUCCGGAAUUAUUGGGCGUAAAGCGCGCGUAGGCGGUUUUUUAAGUCUGAUGUGAAAGCCCACGGCUCAACCGUGGAGGGUCAUUGGAAACUGGAAAACUUGAGUGCAGAAGAGGAAAGUGGAAUUCCAUGUGUAGCGGUGAAAUGCGCAGAGAUAUGGAGGAACACCAGUGGCGAAGGCGACUUUCUGGUCUGUAACUGACGCUGAUGUGCGAAAGCGUGGGGAUCAAACAGGAUUAGAUACCCUGGUAGUCCACGCCGUAAACGAUGAGUGCUAAGUGUUAGGGGGUUUCCGCCCCUUAGUGCUGCAGCUAACGCAUUAAGCACUCCGCCUGGGGAGUACGACCGCAAGGUUGAAACUCAAAGGAAUUGACGGGGACCCGCACAAGCGGUGGAGCAUGUGGUUUAAUUCGAAGCAACGCGAAGAACCUUACCAAAUCUUGACAUCCUUUGACAACUCUAGAGAUAGAGCCUUCCCCUUCGGGGGACAAAGUGACAGGUGGUGCAUGGUUGUCGUCAGCUCGUGUCGUGAGAUGUUGGGUUAAGUCCCGCAACGAGCGCAACCCUUAAGCUUAGUUGCCAUCAUUAAGUUGGGCACUCUAAGAUGACUGCCGGUGACAAACCGGAGGAAGGUGGGGAUGACGUCAAAUCAUCAUGCCCCUUAUGAUUUGGGCUACACACGUGCUACAAUGGACAAUACAAAGGGCAGCGAAACCGCGAGGUCAAGCAAAUCCCAUAAAGUUGUUCUCAGUUCGGAUUGUAGUCUGCAACUCGACUACAUGAAGCUGGAAUCGCUAGUAAUCGUAGAUCAGCAUGCUACGGUGAAUACGUUCCGGGGUCUUGACACACCG
rnacentral:rRNA from 1 species